rnacentral:tRNA from 1 species
GGGGCUAUAGCUCAGUUGGUUAGAGUGUUACGUUGACAUCGUAAAGGUCACAGAUUCGAAUUCUGUUAGCCCCACCA